UCCAAAUGCACCACGGAUCACCUCAUGAGGCUACAGCUGCAGACGCACUACUGGACUUAACAGGAACAAAGACACAAAGGUGUGAGAGGGAAGGAGAGAAUAAAAGAGAGUAGCUGUGGGAGGAAAAGCUGAAGACGAUCUGCUGGACAAGAAUGAAUGAAUCUGGAAAGACUUUAGAGACUUGAGGUCAUCCGUCCACCAGUUUGUAUUAACAACCUCUGCAUCUGCAUAUCUUCAGCAAACCUUGUCCUCCAGAGCUGUGGAGUGUGACAAUGGUGUUUGUUUCCUGUGUAUCAAACGCCAUUAUCACACUAAAUAGCUACAGUGUGAAAACUGCCUCAGUGUAUUCCUCCGUUUGCUGUUUGUUUCUUGUCAUUUCCUUGUAUUAUAGCUGCUUGUAAUCUUUAUCUUCCCUCAUUCAGACUGUAAAGCGUGAACAUAUGUCUCCAUGUGUCAAAGGGUGGUGAUAGUAGGAGACAUGUUACACCACCGCAGGACAGACAGAAGAUGGAAAUAGACAGACUGUGUGUUGAUAUGUCGUAUGUGAUGUUUAGGCUCCAAGUGUGACCCACUUAGUUUUGCAUUUGAGGUGCUAAUUCGCUGCUGGAGACUUUCACCUUUAAGUGCAGACAAAAAUAGUCAGCCCAUUUGUUUUCCAUGCUGCUGCCAUGUCUUGAGAAUGUUUUCAACAUGUAAACAGGUCAUCUAAUUUAAACCCUUGUACUGCUGUGUUUUAAGAUUCCACAAUUGUCUUUAUGCACACUGUAAAUAAAGUGUUUAUUGCUUCUUGUCGCUA